GCCUGGCUAGCUCAAUCGGUAGAGCAUUUGACUCUUAAUCAAAAGGUUGCGGGUUCGAUCCCCGCGUCGGGCU
rnacentral:tRNA from 2 species